rnacentral:rRNA from 1 species
AUUGAACGCUGGCGGCAGGCUUAACAUAUGCAAGUCGAGCGGAGAGAGAUAGCUUGCUACUGAUCUUAGCGGCGGACGGGUGAGUAAUGCUUAGGAAUCUGCCUAUUAGUGGGGGACAACAUUUCGAAAGGAAUGCUAAUACCGCAUACGUCCUACGGGAGAAAGCAGGGGAUCUUCGGACCUUGCGCUAAUAGAUGAGCCUAAGUCGGAUUAGCUAGUUGGUGGGGUAAAGGCCUACCAAGGCGACGAUCUGUAGCGGGUCUGAGAGGAUGAUCCGCCACACUGGGACUGAGACACGGCCCAGACUCCUACGGGAGGCAGCAGUGGGGAAUAUUGGACAAUGGGCGGAAGCCUGAUCCAGCCAUGCCGCGUGUGUGAAGAAGGCCUUAUGGUUGUAAAGCACUUUAAGCGAGGAGGAGGCUACUUUAGUUAAUACCUAGAGAUAGUGGACGUUACUCGCAGAAUAAGCACCGGCUAACUCUGUGCCAGCCGCCGCGGUAAGAC